rnacentral:rRNA from 1 species
UACGGAGGGAGCUAGCGUUGUUCGGAAUUACUGGGCGUAAAGCGCACGUAGGCGGCUUUGUAAGUUAGAGGUGAAAUCCCGAGGCUCAACCUCGGAACUGCCUUUGAUACUGGGGAUCUCGAGUCCGGGAGAGGUGAGUGGAACUGCGAGUGUAGAGGUGAAAUUCGUAGAUAUUCGCAAGAACACCAGUGGCGAAGGCGGCUCACUGGCCCGGAACUGACGCUGAGGUGCGAAAGCGUGGGGAGCAAACAGG